rnacentral:rRNA from 1 species
GAUGAACGCUGGCGGCGUGCCUAAUACAUGCAAGUCGAGCGAACAGACGAGGAGCUUGCUCCUCUGACGUUAGCGGCGGACGGGUGAGUAACACGUGUAUAACCUACCUAUAAGACUGGGAUAACUUCGGGAAACCGGAGCUAAUACCGGAUAAUAUAUUGAACCGCAUGGUUCAAUAGUGAAAGACGGUUUUGCUGUCACUUAUAGCUGGAUCCGCGCCGCAUUAGCUAGUUGGUAAGGUAACGGCUUACCAAGGCAACGAUGCGUAGCCGACCUGAGAGGGUGAUCGGCCACACUGGAACUGAGACACGGUCCAGACUCCUACGGGAGGCAGCAGUAGGGAAUCUUCCGCAAUGGGCGAAAGCCUGACGGAGCAACGCCGCGUGAGUGAUGAAGGUCUUCGGAUCGUAAAACUCUGUUAUUAGGGAAGAACAAAUGUGUAAGUAACUAUGCACGUCUUGACGGUACCUAAUCAGAAAGCCACGGCUAACUACGUG